rnacentral:tRNA from 1 species
GGAGCCUUCGAGGGCGGGGAGACCGGGUGGGACCUGCUGGGUCGCUCAGUAACCGAGACGGCUCGGGUGCGGGUUCGCGUCCCGUGGCUCCC